rnacentral:rRNA from 1 species
GUGAGGAAUUUUCCGCAAUGGGCGAAAGCCUGACGGAGCAAUGCCGCGUGAAGGAUGAAGGCCUAUGGGUUGUAAACUUCUUUUCUCAGAAAAGAAUUAUGACGGUAUCUGAGGAAUAAGCAUCGGCUAACUCUGUGCCAGCAGCCGCGGUAAGACAGAGGAUGCAAGCGUUAUCCGGAAUGAUUGGGCGUAAAGCGUCUGUAGGUUGUUUAAAAAGUAUUCUGUCAAAGAUUAGGGCUUAACCCUAGAUAGGCAGAAUAAACUUUUAAGCUAGAGUUUGGUAGAGGCAGAGGGAAUUCCCGGUGGAGCGAUGAAAUGCGUAGAUAUCGGCAGGAACACCAAAGGCGAAGGCACUCUGCUGGGCCAAUACUAACACUGAGAGACGAGAGCGAGGGGAGCAAAUGGGAUUAGAAACCCUUGUAGUCC